CCGAGCCGUCCCGAGCCUGUGCAGCCGUGCCGCCUCCUCCCACUAAUCCGGCCACCUCGUUGCCCCUUUUUCCAAAUUAGUUGUGGGAAUGGAAUCCUCUCAAUCUCCUCUUCCUUUUCCCCAAGAAAUCCCACAAGUUUCUAUGGAAAUCCUUUCCAAUUUCGCGGAUCAAUCUUUCCUUUUUCCGGCGAAGAUCCUAAACUUUCCCGAGUUUUUCCCGUCGACGUGGGCUCGAUCCCUGGGCUCCCAUGGCUAUAUAUAGAGCCCGCUCCUUCUCCUCUUUCGGCCGCCACCUCUCCCUAUCUCCACCGUCGCCGGAAACACUCUCCCCGCGAGCUCCCUCUCUCUCCACCUCCGGCCGCCGCUCCAGCCGCCGUGCGCCAUCGCCCCGACCGUCGCCGGUCAGCGCGACCACCUCCCUCGGCUCCGCAAAGUCGAGCUCCACCCCGGCCAUUGGUUCCUUUGUGCCAAAUCCCGCCGGAAGCCGCUUGCCGACGCGAACCAGAAGGUUUCGGCCUUUGCUGCGCCUCCAGCCGCAGCUAGCAGCCGCCUUAGCCGCCUCUUUCGGUCGCCGUCGACUCCAUUGGGUUCGCAGGAGCAAGGUGAAGCCCGGCCACCGGUUUUUCUUUGCCAAAGAUUGCAGAAACGUCGCUGCCGUCGCUGACCCGUCCCCGUCGCCGCCUCUACCUCGCUGCCGGCCGUCUGCCGUCAUCAUCCAUCGUCACGCUGCCCCUCAUGUCGUCAUCAUCUUCAUGUGUUGUCGCCGGAAAAUCAUCGCCGCCGUGGACAGUACCUCGCCGCCCUUCGAAGCUCAUCGCCGGCCAUCUUCCGUCGCUGUCCAUCGUCGCGUAAGUGUUGUGUCGUCAUCGUCUCCGUGUGUUGUCGCCGGACCGUCAUCGUCGACCCUUCCUCUCCGAUCGCUUUGGUUCGGUGAGACGUCUAUCUGUGUUCCCUCGGUUUAGUUUUUAAUCUCUCGUUUGUGUCGUCGAGUAGCCGCCGCCGUGCCACGCUUAGCUGCUGCGCCUUGCUUUCGUGCUCUGUCGUCGUUGUGUGUCGUCGUCGCUGUGCCGUUGCCCUAACCCUAGCCGCGUGCCUCCGCCGAGUCGCCGCCGCCUAGCCAAGCCAAGUCGCCCUAGUGCCGCCGUGUCGCAGCUGUGUGCCGCUUUAACCUAGCUGCCGCUUUAACCGUUGCUCGGUAGUCAAGUUGUCUAGCCGUAGGUGCAUCCCUAAAUUCCUACCGGCCUAUCGUUUGCCGUACCCGGGCUUUACCGUGAAUCGUGUCUAGCUCACCGGUUUAGUCGCAGUCGUUGUUAAGUCGUUCGCUCGUUCGUUCGAAAGAGGUGUUCCCCGUGCUUCGUUCGUUCGUCCAUGUUGAGUCGUCCUUUAGUUUAGAGCCGUUCAGAGCCGCCGGUUCCGUUCGCCGGUUUCGGUUGAUCAUUUGGGUGAUCCCGUGUCACGUAGAAUUGACUCGUUGAGUCGGUAUCUCUUGAGGCUUGCUUGCCAGAUUAAUCUAAUCCGAUCUUGGUCGACUCGGUCAAGAUUAAUCUCAGCCAUAUAAAUCCGUUCCCUCUCUUCAAUGGCAUAUUAGUUCUUUUUAUCAUAUGUCAUCUACCAAAUAUAAUCUAAUCUUUUC